rnacentral:rRNA from 1 species
GUCGAGCGAGAUUUAUGCAAGUGGAGACUUCGGUCAAAGCGAACAUAAUGAAAGCGGCGGACGGGUGAGUAACGCGUGAGCAAUCUGCCCCAUACAAAGGGAUACCCACUGGAAACGGUGAUUAAUACCUUAUAAGACCACGAAGUCGCAUGGCUUAGCGGUCAAAGAUUUAUCGGUAUGGGAUGAGCUCGCGUCUGAUUAGCUAGUUGGUAAGGUAAUGGCUUACCAAGGCGACGAUCAGUAGGGGGUGUGAGAGCAUGACCCCCCACAUGGGUACUGAGACACGGACCCAACUCCUACGGGAGGCAGCAGUAAGGAAUAUUGGACAAUGGACGGAAGUCUGAUCCAGCCAUGCCGCGUGAAGGAUGAAGGCGCUCUGCGUUGUAAACUUCUUUUAGGUGGGAACAAACCUCUCGAUGCGUUGAGAGCUGAGGGUACCAUCAGAAUAAGCACCGGCUAACUCCGUGCCAGCAGCCGCAGUAAGAC